rnacentral:rRNA from 1 species
AUGGACGCGAUGCGGAAGCAGCUGGACGUGCUGAUGGGGGCCAACCGCAACGGCGACGUGCGGGAGGUCAACCGCAAGUACUUCGACCGCGACGUCUGCCGCCUCUUCCUCGCCGGCCUCUGCCCCCACGACCUCUUCCAGCUCACGAAAAUGGAUCUCGGACCCUGCCCCAAGGUCCACUCGCUUCAGCUGCGGAAAGACUAUGAAGAGGUAAAAGCAAAGGGGUCGGAGAAUUUCGACAGGGAGCUCGAGGACAUGAUAGACAGGCUCAUCGUGGAGUGUGAGCGGAAAAUCCAGAGGGCGCUGAAGCGCCUCGCCGACGAGGAUGCCAAGGCUGCUAUCGCGAUAUCUGUGUCCGAGGUCACUCAGUCUGAAGAAGUUGCGCAGCUGUCAAAGGAAAUCAAGGAGAAGAUGAAAGAAGCUGAUAUCUUCGAUUUUGAAGGGAAGACUGAUGAUAAAAUCAAGACCAUGGAAUUGGUCGAAGAAUUAAGAUCUAAAAGGGCUGACCUGCAGGCUACCCUCUUGCUUGAUGCCUUUAACAAGGACCGAGCUGCAAUACCUCAACCUAUUCCACCUCCUCAAAUGGCAACACUGCCAGCACCUCCUCCUCCUGAUGCUCGUACUCAAGAACUGAUCAAUGAGAAGCUGAGUAAAGCUGAAGCCCUUGGUGAACAAGGGAUGGUAGAAGAAGCGCAGAAGGCUUUAGAAGAAGCAGAAGCUCUCAAAAAGUUGGCAGCGGCACGGCAGGAGCCAGUUGCUGAUCCUUCUAAAUACAGUGUUGCUGAUGUCCGAAUUACUGAUCAGAAGUUGCGCCUCUGUGACAUAUGUGGAGCAUUUUUGAGUGUCUAUGACAAUGAUCGACGUCUUGCUGACCAUUUUGGAGGGAAGCUACACUUGGGUUAUAUGUUGAUUCGUGAGAAACUGAAAGAACUCCAGGAGGAGAGGACCAAAAAAAGGACCGAGAAACCUGAAGAUGACAGACGAUCAAGGGAAAACAGCAGGGACCGCAAUGGGCGGGCAUCCAGGGAUAGAGAUGCAGAAAGAAAGGACAGGGUUGAGCCCCGGGAUAGCAGAAGAGACCACGAUAGGGAUCGUGAUAGGCGCCAUGACAGGGACCGUCGCCAUGACCGCGACCGUGAUAGAGACCAUGACCGCUCCUCCCGUGGUAGAGAGCAUGACCGUGAUAGGAGAAGGGAACGCUCUCGAUCCAGGGACCGCAGCAGGCGCCAUGAAAGAUAUUGA